GUCUCGGUAGUGCAAAGGAUAGAGCAUGGUGCCCGAGAAGCAUAAGUGCGGGUUUGAGUCCCAUUCGAGACU
rnacentral:tRNA from 1 species